rnacentral:rRNA from 1 species
UGGCCAGACUCCUACGGGAGGCAGCAGUGAGGAAUAUUGGUCAAUGGGCGGGAGCCUGAACCAGCCAAGUCGCGUGAGGGAAGACGGUCCUAUGGAUUGUAAACCUCUUUAGGCGGGGAGCAAUGCCGGGCACGCGUGUCCGGAGGGAGAGUACCCGCAGAAUAAGCAUCGGCUAACUCCGUGCCAGCAGCCGCGGUAAUACGGAGGAUGCGAGCGUUAUCCGGAUUUAUUGGGUUUAAAGGGUGCGUAGGCGGAUUUUUAAGUCAGCGGUAAAAUGGCCGGGCUCAACCCGGGCCGGCCGUUGAAACUGUCGGACUAGAGACGGCGAGAAGUACGCGGAAUGCGCGGUGUAGCGGUGAAAUGCAUAGAUAUCGCGCAGAACUCCGAUUGCGAAGGCAGCGUACCGGCGCCGGACUGACGCUGAGGCACGAAAGCGUGGGUAUCGAACAGGAUUAGAUACCCCGGUA